UUAAAGGAAUUGACGGAAGGGCACCACCAGGAGUGGAGCCUGCGGCUUAAUUUGACUCAACACGGGGAAACUCACCCGACCCGGACACUGUGAGGAUAGACAGAUUGAUAGCUCUUUCUUGAUUCGGUGGAUGGUGGUGCAUGGCCGUUCUUAGUUGGUGGAGUGAUUUGUCUGCCUAAUCGCGAUAACGAACGAGACUCUAAUCUGCUAAAUAGUACAGUGGCAUCGGUGCUUUAGCACUACAGUCACUGCAGACUUCUUAGAGAAAUGUGCGGAAUGAAGUCGCAAGAAAGGGAGCAAUAACAGGUCUGUGAUGCCCUUAGAUGUCCGGGGCCGCACGCGCGCUACAAUGAUAACGUCAGCAAGUAAUAAAACCUGGUCCGAAAGGAUUGGGGAAUCUUUGCAUUGUUAUCUCAUCAGGGAUUGAGACUUGUAAUUAUUUCUCAUGAACGAGGAAUUCCUAGUAAAUGUAAGUCAUCAGCUUACGUUGACUAUGUCCCUGCCCUUUGUACACACCGCCCGUCGCUACUACCGAUUGAAUGGUUUAGUGAAAUCAUCAGAUUGAUCCGAUGCGAGGUCUGACUUUGCAUUGGUGUUGAGAAGACGAUUGAACUUGAUCAUUUAGAGGAAGUAAAAGUCGUAACA
rnacentral:rRNA from 1 species